rnacentral:misc_RNA from 1 species
ACAUGCCCUGAUAAUUUAGGAUUGCUGUGUAAGAUAUGUACAAUAUAUAGAAGUUUACAGACGAUGAUAACUAUGAUUUACAUUAUAAAGCUAAGGCUAACAGAUGGUUACAAGUAAAGAUAACGGCAACAGAUUGUUACAAAGUAGAGUAUAUCCUUAACAGCCCCUCUCAAGCUGUUGUCUUGGCAGGCAUGAGACGCAGCUUGUCUCUUUGACGUUCGAAUAACCAUGUGCCAAACG